rnacentral:lncRNA from 1 species
GAGCUGCUGAGACAGAUCACCUGCACAGGUCAUCACUGCCUCCCCACCUUGUCCCAACCAGCAUCCCAGAGGAGCGAUGGUCCUGGGGACUAGACAAUAGAGACGCGGAUGUGAAAGAGGCACUGGUCUUGCCCUGGGGCCAGCUAUUGCCAGCCAGCCUUGAUCGACACCAAAGACGCCUAAUCUCUCUCUGGCCCGAGGGGAGCAGCAGCGUUUGUGAAACAGAUUUUUACAAAAUGUUUUGACCCUGCUUUCCCCUCCCCCCCCACAUCCCUGCCUGGCACCGUGUCACCUAAUUAAAUCAGCCUUCGCGGGCGACUCAGCUUCCUGCUAAUUGUGCUCUGAGCCUGCUUCCGGAGGCCGCUCUCCCCACCCCCUAGCCACCACCCCAACUCCGGAGGGCAGCGCAUCGGUGGGGCGGGGUGAGGGGGGAGCUCUGAGGGGUGCAGAGGCUCUUAGGAGGCACUUGUGGUCUUCCUGCGAGUUGGUCUGCAAUCGGGGAGACUGAGUCACCCGGCCUCUGCUUGGCCAGCCUUGAUGCCCAGGGACCCGAGUCCAGGUCUGAAAUGACCCUGGGUCUCGGGGAGACCAGCUCGAGCGUAUCCGAGUAAUUGUCUCCACCAGACGGAGGGAGAGCGAGGCUACGCGGAUUCUGGAAAAUCCCAGGUUUCCUUCCUCUUUACCAGCUGCACUGGCCCCGCCUAGGCCAGUUUUCUGGUUCCUUCCCAGGCCUGUAGGCCGAUGGGAGCGCGCUGCCUCUGUCCAUGGUGCUGAACACGCUCCAAUCCACUAUGCCUCCAAAUUUGCCCCAAGAGAGCAAUGACUAAAAGCAACCUGGGUGACUAACGUGCACCGGCCUAAGAGCUUCCAAGCUCUGUUUAGUUUAACUCUCUCAGCACCCUGAGAAAGGAGACAUUACCAUUUUGAAGAUGAGAACAUGGAGACAGAAAGGUU